CUGCCAAAAAAAAGACUGUUUGGCCAGUGAGGUUGGUGACGGAACUCCAGUCUGCACUGGAAGGGAGGUCUCCGCUGGAAUGCCACCAGGCUGUGUCCUCGAGGCAGACCUGAUACCAAGCUGGAGUGGGGCCUGCUGGGAGCAGCAGGAUGGCCCAGCCCCCUCCCACACGGCUGAAUCAAGCCCCACGUGUGGGCUUAAAAGCGCACGCUGCACGUGUAGGAGCUGGCUUCACUGGGCAGCACCCAUGAAAAGCUCUGAGGCCCUCGGUGGCCCCCACGAGCACCAUGGGCCUUGAGUCUCCAGGCCCAGGUUAAGACACUAAGAAGGCCCUCCUGCCGGUGGAGUCCAGUUUGAACAGACCAGAUGACCCCUGGAAGAGGGGAGCUGCUCGGCACAACAGGAGGCGGGGCUGCAGCAGAGUUGAACGCCACCAGGGAAAGGAAGCCCGAGGGUCGCCCUGGCCACACAGUCCCAGGACCUCCAACAGCACGGAUCAGAGUCGCCCAGCCCCGAGCUCUGCAGCGGCCCCCGCCAGCCUCCUGGGGGCACAGAGCCCUUCCCACAUGCCGCCGCCCCGGCCUCCCCAGGCCCUCGGACACCCAGGCUCUGUCCCUCCCAAGAGCGGUGCACUGGGCUGUGCGGGCACCUGCACCCAGCCACCCCCACCGUGACGUCUCAUGGGACUCCGGGGCAAGACUGCGAGGCCCUCUCUCCCCAACCCGAGCCCUGCGUCCUGGGGGUUUGUCACCCGAGGCUCAUACAGCGGGUCACCCCUGGGGGUCGGCAUUUCCUCUCAGCUCCAUUCCCUGGAGACCCGCCCAGGCAGCCGCUAAAACCAGGGGCUGCUCCUUGUGCCCGAGUCGCAGGGGGUGUGGGGCCCUCGUGCUCAGCCACUCGCCCCAGGCACGUCCAGGCACGUCCAGCUCUGAGGAUGCGGCUGCGUGGGGCUCCCUGUGCGGGCGUCCGGAAGAGCAGGUCUGCAUUCUCCGGGCUAAGUGCCCAAGCUGUCCUGGCUGCGGCCUGCAGGGCUCUCUGCUUGCUUCAGGUUUGUGGGGGGUUUCAUAUCAUUCUGUGGCUUGCCUUUGUUUAAAUUAA
rnacentral:lncRNA from 1 species